rnacentral:rRNA from 1 species
UACGAAGGGGGCAAGCGUUGUUCGGAAUUACUGGGCGUAAAGAGCGUGUAGGCGGCCUGACAGGUCUGCUGUGAAAACUCGAGGCUCAACCUCGAGAUGUCGGCGGAAACCGUCUGGCUAGAGUCCGGAAGAGGAGAGUGGAAUUCCUGGUGUAGCGGUGAAAUGCGCAGAUAUCAGGAAGAACACCAAUGGCGAAAGCAGCUCUCUGGGACGGUACUGACGCUGAUGCGCGAAAGCGUGGGGAGCAAAC